GGGGAUUUAGCUCAGCGGCAUAAGCGCCUGCCUUGCAAGCAGGCAGUCGUGAGCUGGAUCCCCG
rfam:Cavia porcellus supercont2_181 genomic scaffold, whole genome shotgun sequence.